AUACGGAGGAUCCGAGCGUUAUCCGGAUUUAUUGGGUUUAAAGGGUGCGCAGGCGGCCAUUUAAGUCAGCGGUUAAAUCGUGGGGCUCAACCCCAUUCUGCCGUUGAUACUGGGGGGCUUGAUUGCGGUCGAGGUUGGCGGAAUUCGUUGUGUAGCGGGGAAAUGCAUAGAUAUGACGAAGAACACCGAUUGCGUAGGCAGCUGACCAGACCGCAAAUGACGCUCAUGCACGAAAGUGCGGGGAUCGAACAGGAUUAGAUACCCUGGUAGUCCGCACAGUAAACGAUGAAUACUUGUUUUCGGCGAUAUAAUGUCAGAGGCAAAGCGAAAGCGAUAAGUAUUCCACCUGGGGAGUACGCCGGCAACGGUGAAACUCAAAUGAAUUGGCGGGG
rnacentral:rRNA from 1 species